rnacentral:rRNA from 1 species
GACAGAGGGUGCAAACGUUGUUCGGAAUUACUGGGCGUAAAGCGUGUGUAGGCGGCCUCGCAAGUCGGAUGUGAAAGCCCCGGGCUCAACCCGGGAAGUGCACCCGAUACUGCGUGGCUCGAGUACCGGAGAGGUUGGUGGAAUUCUCGGUGUAGAGGUGAAAUUCGUAGAUAUCGAGAGGAACACCGGUGGCGAAGGCGACAUCCUGGACCGGUAUUGACGCUGAGGCGCGAAAGCCAGGGGAGCAAACGGG